GAUGAACGCUGGCGGCGUGCCUAAUACAUGCAAGUCGAGCGAACGGACGAGAAGCUUGCUUCUCUGAUGUUAGCGGCGGACGGGUGAGUAACACGUGGAUAACCUACCUAUAAGACUGGGAUAACUUCGGGAAACCGGAGCUAAUACCGGAUAAUAUUUUGAACCGCAUGGUUCAAAAGUGAAAGACGGUCUUGCUGUCACUUAUAGAUGGAUCCGCGCUGCAUUAGCUAGUUGGUAAGGUAACGGCUUACCAAGGCAACGAUGCAUAGCCGACCUGAGAGGGUGAUCGGCCACCCAGGACCUGAGACACGGUCCAGACACCGACGGGCGGCAGCGGUAGGGAAUCUUCCGAAAUGGGCGAAAGCCUGACGGAGCAACGCCGCGUGAGUGAUGAAGGUCUGCGGAUCGUAAAACUCUGUUAUUAGGGAAGAACAUAUGUGUAAGUAACUGUGCACAUCUGGACGGUACCUAAACAGAAAGCCACGGCUAACUACGU
rnacentral:rRNA from 1 species